CCAAUAGCGUAUAUUAAAGUUGUUGCAGUUAAAAAGCUCGUAGUUGAAUUUCGGGGUUAGUACGCUGGUCGUGCCUUCGGUAUGUACUGGUGUUACUGAUUCCUACCUUCUGAAGAACCGUCAUGUCAUUAAUUUGGUGUGGCGGGGAAUCAGGACUGUUACUUUGAAAAAAUUAGAGUGUUUAAAGCAGGCUCGCGCUUGAAUACAUUAGCAUGGAAUAAUGAAAUAGGACGUUUAAUCCUAUUUUGUUGGUUUCUAGGAUUGACGUAAUGAUUAAUAGGGAUAGUUGGGGGCAUUAGUAUUCAAUUGUCAGAGGUGAAAUUCUUGGAUUUAUUGAAGACUAACUACUGCGAAAGCAUUUGCCAAGGAUGUUUUCAUUAAUCAAGAACGAAAGUUAGGGGAUCGAAGACGAUCAGAUACCGUCGUAGUCUUAACCAUAAACUAUGCCGACUAGGGAUCGGAUGAUGUUAAUUUUUUAAUGACUCAUUCGGCGCCUUACG
rnacentral:rRNA from 1 species